CCAACUCUAGCCCUAAUCUCAUACAAUUAUAAUAACUAAACAUAAUAACCAAAUCAUUUACCCACUAUAAAAGUAUAGGAGAUAGAAAUUAUAUUCCAGGCGCAAUAGAUAUAGUACCGUAAGGGAAAGACAAAAAAUCAACAAAGCACAAUAAAGCAAAGACAAACUCUUGUACCUUCUGCAUAAUGAAUUAACUAGAAAUAACUUUAUAUAGAGAACUUCAACAAUGCUCCCCGAAACCAAGCGAGCUACCCAAGGACAGCUAAAAGAGCACACCCAUCUAUGUGGCAAAAUAGUGGGAAAAUCUAUGGGUAGUGGCGACAAACCUACCGAGCCUGGUGAUAGCUGGUUGUCCAAGACAGAAUUUUAGUUCAACCUUAAAUUUACUUACAGAACUAUUUAAUCCUCCCGUAAAUUUAAUCGUUAGUCUAAAGAGGGACAGCUCCUUAGACCCUAGGAAACAACCUUUAUAUAGAGAGUAAAACGCCCCACCACCAUAGUUGGCCUAAAAGCAGCCAUCAAUUAAGAAAGCGUUCAAGCUCAACACUCAACCUUUCCUUAAUCUCACUCAACAUACUGAACUCCUAAAGCACAUUGGACUAAUCUAUUACUUAAUAGAAGCAAUAAUGUUAAUAUAAGUAACAUGAAACUAUUCUCCCCGCAUAAGCUUAUCUCAGACCGAAACACCUACCGUUAGUUACCAGCUCAAUCAUUAUAUAUCACAACCUAAUCAACCCAUUAAACAAACUGUUAACCCAACACAGGUAUGCAUCCAGGAAAGAUUAAAAAAAGUAAAAGGAACUCGGCCAACUCUAACCCCGCCUGUUUACCAAAAACAUCACCUCUAGCAUUACUAGUAUUAGAGGCACUGCUGCCCAGUGACACAUGUUCAACGGCCGCGGUACCCUGACCGUGCAAAGGUAGCAUAAUCACUUGUUCUCUAAAUAGGGACUUGCAUGAAUGGCCACACGAGGGUUUAACUGUCUCUUACUUUUAAUCAGUGAAAUUGACCUAUCCGUGAAGAGGCGGAUAUAACUAAAUAAGACGAGAAGACCCUAUGGAGCUUCAAUUUAAUAAUACAAACAAACGUUCUAAAUACCUACAGGCACUAACCCACUGUCAAUGUAUUAUAAAUUUUGGUUGGGGUGACCUCGGAGCAUAACACAACCUCCGAAAAGCAUACACCAAGACCUCACUAGUCUAAGUAAUUCACACUCAUUGACCCAAUAACUUGAUCAACGGACCAAGUUACCCUAGGGAUAACAGCGCAAUCCUAUUUUAGAGUUCAUAUCGACAAUAGGGUUUACGACCUCGAUGUUGGAUCAAGACAUCCUAAUGGUGCAGCCGCUAUUAAGGGUUCGUUUGUUCAACGAUUAAAGUCUUACGUGAUCUGAGUUCAGACCGGAGAAAUCCAGGUCGGUUUCUAUCUAUUAAAUAUUUCUCCCAGUACGAAAGGACAAGAGAAAUGGAGCCUACCUCACAAGGCGCUCCCAUAAAUCAAAUGAUUAUAAUCUUAAUUUCACAAAUUAUUA
rnacentral:rRNA from 1 species